AUACGUAGGUGGCAAGCGUUGUCCGGAAUUAUUGGGCGUAAAGCGCUCGUAGGUGGCUUUGUAAGUCAGGUGUGAAAGCCCACGGCUCAACCGUGGAAUUGCACUUGAUACUGCAUUGCUUGAGUGCAGAAGAGGAAAGUGGAAUUCCAAGUGUAGCGGUGAAAUGCGUAGAGAUUUGGAGGAACACCAGUGGCGAAGGCGACUUUCUGGUCUGUAACUGACACUGAGGCGCGAAAGCGUGGGGAGC
rnacentral:rRNA from 1 species